GCGAGGGUGUCAGAGUCUGGUCAAUCAGCCAAAGUUGAGCUUUGGUUUGACUAAAUGACUACGGUUGAGGGCCGUAGGCCUUAGUGGCUGCGCGGGUUCGAAUCCCGUCCUUCGCA
rnacentral:tRNA from 1 species